GUUUGACCUCUCCUUUGACCCCCAGUACAGCCUGAAUCCUACAUCAGGUUUGACUGUUAGUUCUACUUUGACCACUGACACUCCAAGUAAAGGUCAAAGCUCCACAGACAUUGUUGUGAAUUCAAACAGUCCAGAAAGUGUUCUAGGUACGCGUCCUUCUCUAGCUGCCUAACUGUCUUUUAUACACAACUGAGACAUGCAACCUCACAAUUUAAUGACACAUUUUAUGAGAUCAAAUCUUGAGAUGUAGUAUUGACCCUGGGAGUACAAGCUAAUGACCUUGCCAAUGUCACCAAACAGAAACA